rnacentral:rRNA from 1 species
CCUACGGGAGGCAGCAGUGGGGAAUAUUGCGCAAUGGGCGAAAGCCUGACGCAGCGACGCCGCGUGAGGGAUGAAGGUCUUCGGAUCGUAAACCUCUGUCAGGAGGGAAGAAGUGGUUAUAUGCGAAUAGUGUAUGACUUUGACGGUACCUCCAAAGGAAGCACCGGCUAACUCCGUGCCAGCAGCCGCGGUAAUACGGAGGAUGCGAGCGUUAUCCGGAUUUAUUGGGUUUAAAGGGUGCGUAGGCGGAAGGUUAAGUCAGCGGUCAAAUGUCGGUGCUCAACACCGGCCUGCCGUUGAAACUGGUAGUCUUGAGUGAGCGAGAGGGAGGCGGAAUGCGUGGUGUAGCGGUGAAAUGCAUAGAGAUCACGCAGAACUCCGAUUGCGAAGGCAGCAUACCGGCGCUCAACUGACGCUGAGGCGCGAAAGCGUGGGGAUCGAACAGGAUUAGAUACCCGAGUAGUC